CGCCCCGCUGCCAAUGUCAAGGUUUUAUUUCUAUCAUAUUUUUUUUACCACCAAAACUGUCAGAUGCUAUUUUUCAAAUAGCCCUAUCCUACUAUUUGAUACAAAAUCUAACGAAAUGAAUACUUUACAUUUCUUGUGGGCUGCCCACAGGGAAGAAUUGCGGAGAAGGCGGAAAAUGCGAGAAUUAGCCAGAAUAUAUGAAGAAAAUUUUGAAGACAUGCCAGAGCUUCUGUUCAGGCAACGUUACAGGCUUAACAAAGGCCAAUUUCAGGAGCUUUGUCAUAUAUUGAAACAGGAAACCUCUUUGCGGGGAAAUACAAUAAUUUCUCUGGAAUCCAAGAUGAGCUGCCUGCAGGAUCUGUUGCAACAGCCACUUUUCUGGAGCAUUUUAACAAUUUAUUUGAUUUACUUAAUGCGCAUGCAUUCACCAGACUGGCAAGAAGGGAAGCAAUCAGUGUGUAUAAUAUUAAUUAAAAGAUUUUGUUUAAUAGAGAACAGAAGGUUCUCCACUGAAUCUGCCUAGUAAAGGCUGCCAAAAAAAAAUAAAAAUAUUAAAAAAUUCAUA